rnacentral:rRNA from 1 species
AUUGAACGCUGGCGGCAGGCCUAACACAUGCAAGUCGAACGAGUGGCGGACGGGUGAGUCAUGUCUGGGAAACUGCCUGAUGGAGGGGGAUAACUACUGGAAACGGUAGCUAAUACCGCAUACCAUCAGAUGUGCCCAGAUGGGAUUAGCUUGUUGGUGGGUUAACGGCUCACCAAGGCGACGAUCCCGAGCUGGUCUGAGAGGAUGACCAGCCACACUGGAACGGAGACCCGGUCCAGACUCCUACGGGAGGCAGCAGUGGGGAAGAUUACACAAUGGGCGAAAGCCUGAGGCAGCGAUGGCGCGUGUAUGAUGAAGGCCUUCGGAUUGUAAAGUACUUUCAGCAGGGAGGCGUUACCCGCAGAAGAAGCACCGGCUAACUCCGUGCCAGCAGCCGCGGUAAUUC